AUGUCUGACAGUAGUCUGAAAACUAUAUUUACUGAUGCCGACUUUGAUGGGCAUGUACCCUUCUUUGGAGGAAUUGAUGCCAAUGCAUCGGUGAGUCACUUUAGUAGGCUUGAAGCUCCAUUAAGGAUUUUGGUCAGAGACCUCCCAUAUCAGGAAGCUGAUCUGAGAGGUAGAGUAGACAUCUUCAUGAAAUUGAUAAUAUGGGGUUCAGUCAUUUGGAUUCCUUGCUCUUGUGCUUUCUCCCUGGUUAUCUCCCCCUAA